CGACGAAUAGGUGGUGAGUGUCGAUUCUCCUUUCACGGGUCUUUUCCAGGAUUUGGCGCAUGGUGAAUAUCUGGUCGGUUGUUGAUUUACCAGGUCUGAAGCCACACUGAUAAGGUCCAAUCAGUUUGUUGACGGUGGGCUUUAAUCUUUCACACAAUACGCUCGAUAGAACCUUAUACGCGAUAUUAAGGAGGCUAAUCCCACGGUAGUUGGCGCAGAUUGUGGGGUCUCCUUUUUUAUGGAUUGGGCAUAGCACACUUAAAUUCCAAUCGUUGGGCAUGCUUUCGUCCGACCAUAUUUUACAAAGAAGCUGAUGCAUGCUCCUUAUCAGCUCUUCGCCGCCGUGUUUGAAUAGCUCGGCUGGCAAUCCAUCCGCCCCCGCCGCUUUGUUGUUCUUCAGGCGGGUAAUUGCUAUUCGAACUUCUUCUUGGUCGGGCAAUGGAACGUCUUUUCCGUCGUCAUCGAUUGGGGAAUCGGGUUCGUCUUCUCCUG